rnacentral:rRNA from 1 species
AGUGAACGCUGGCGGCGUGCCUAAUACAUGCAAGUCGAACGGAGUGGCGCACGGGUGAGUAAUAUAUAGCUAAUCUGCCCAUUGCUGGAGGACAACAGUUAGAAAUGACUGCUAAUACUCCAUAGCAAGGGAUGAGAAUAAAUCGUAUCAGCUAGUCGGUGGGGUACCGACCUACCGAGGCUAUGACGCGUAACUGGUCUGACAGGAUGAUCAGUCACAUUGGACGUGAGACACGGUCCAAACUCCUACGGGAGGCAGCAGUAGGGAAUAAUGCGCAAUGGGGGAAACCCUGACGCAGCAACGCCGCGUGGAGGAUGACACUUGUGGGAGCGUAAACUCCUUUUGUUAGGGUAGCGGUACCUAACGAAUAAGCACCGGCUAACUCCGUGCCAGCAGCCGCGGUAAUUC